rnacentral:tRNA from 1 species
GGGGAUAUAGUUCAGCUGGGAGAACGCUUGACUGGCAGUCAAGAGGUCAGGGGUUCGAGUCCCCUUAUCUCCACCA